GCGGGUUUAGUUAAAUGGUAGACGGCAGCUUCCCAAGCUGCAUACGAGGUUUCGAUUCCCUUCACCCGCCC
rnacentral:tRNA from 1 species